rnacentral:rRNA from 1 species
CAAUAGCGUAUAUUAAAGUUGUUGCAGUUAAAAAGCUCGUAGUUGGAUUUGUGGCGUACGACGGGCUCCGGGCACUUGUUGUCUGAGUAGCUUGUCGUUGCCAUCCUUGGGUGGAACCUGUGUGGCAUUAGGUUGUCGUGCAGGGGGUGCCCAUCUUUUACUGUGAAAAAAUUAGAGUGUUCAAAGCAGGCUUAUGCCGUUGAAUAUAUUAGCAUGGAAUAAUAAGAUAGGACUUUGUCGCUAUUUUGUUGGUUUGCGCGAUAAGGUAAUGAUUAAUAGGGACAGUUGGGGGUAUUCGUAUUCCAUUGUCAGAGGUGAAAUUCUUGGAUUUUUGGAAGACGAACUACUGCGAAAGCAAUUACCAAGGAUGUUUUCAUUAA